UGAUUUAUUUUGUGUUCAUAUCACAUGGAUGGAUGUGAAAUUAAGUUAUGAUUGUUUUGUUUUUUGUCUGUUUCUAGAGGAGACGUCGUUCAGGUUGUAGGACUUGGUGGUUAUAGGGUAAAUGCCAGCAGCCACCCACUCCCUGAUGAACCACCUAAUCUUCAGUGUGCAGACAUGCGUGUUGCUGACUGUGAGCCUACCAGAUACUCUCAGUGUACUGCAUAUGUGCCAUAUAACGACAGGCUGUGUCUAGAAGAACAUCAAGUAGAUGCACGUGGGGGUGAUUCUGGUGGUGGAGUGAUUUACAACAACAUGAUUUAUGGUGUAAUCAGUUCUGGUUUUGAACGUGUCUGUACUGGACCAGCUGUUACUGUGAAUGUUUGUUCUUACAUGAACUGGAUAAAUCAGAAAAUUGCCCAAAAUAAUGGAAAAUAACUGAAUGAAAAUAACAUCCAGAAUAAAC